UACGUAGGGUGCAAGCGUUGUUCGGAAUUACUGGGCGUAAAGCGGGUGUAGGUGGCGUUGUAAGUCAGAUGUGAAAGCCCUGGGCUUAACCCAGGAAGUGCGUCUGAUACUGCAGUGCUAGAGUGCGAUAGAGGAAGGUGGAAUUCCUGGUGUAGGGGUGAAAUCCGUAGAUAUUAGGAGGAAUACCAAUGGCGAAGGCAGCCUUCUGGCUCGUAACCGACACUCAGACCCGAAAGCGUGGGGAUCAAACAGG
rnacentral:misc_RNA from 1 species